rnacentral:tRNA from 1 species
UGUCCCAUGGUGUAAUGGUAACACAGCGGUUUUUGGUACCGUCGUUCUAGGUUCGAGUCCUAGUGGGACAA